GAUGGGAAGCCUGGCCAGUGGAGGCAUCCCAGGCCUGCUCUGAGGAGGUGCCAUAGCCCUGAGAGACCGAGGUCAGUGACCUAACACAGCAGACAGCUGAGCUCACAGGUGGCCUUAUGCAAAGAAUGCAUCAACACUGUUCACAUUUGUCAGUAAGAGCUGUUUUCCGACAUACAAAUAACUCUUAUUCUUUAAACGAAAAAAAGAUGGGGAACAUGUGGUCUGGUCCCAAAUUCAUCCAUCAGCAUGUGGCCUGGAAACCCAGCAUUGGCCUUGAAAACAUUACUCAUGUUGGUAAACACACUUUGGUGGUUUGACCAGACACAGAAAUCUGUGCUUCAGAUGUGACCUCAAGACACCCUUGCUCCCAAAACAGCCACCCAUGGGCUGCAUCACAGACGGGCGAGUGUCCAGUGGCUCUGAGGCCCGGGGAUUGGAGAGAAUCUAAAGUUAAUGCAUUUAUCCGAGACCCUUUGAUCUGGAAUCAGGCUGCCAAUCCUGUGAGGCCAGAAUCGCCCAGAAGAUUUUCAGGCUUUCCUCAGAUUCAGCCGUCUCCUCUAGCAUCUUAGAACUUGACUUUGAAUAACUUGAGAUUUCAAAUUAAAAUGACCCUGAAAGAUGAAUGAAAGAUUCUAAAAAGGAAAGAAAUUAGAUUUUGUUCAAAUCAGACAUCGUGAAACUGAGCCCUACUGGCUUCGUCUGAGCCAGUUUAUUUACUGCAAGAUAAACUGAAUUCAGCAAAAAAAAGAAAAAGUCCCCAUCAGCCAGCUAUCACAGGAGGUAGAGAGAAAACACUUCUUUUAAUAAAUAAAAAUUA